UCUGAAGACGGCUACUUAACGGGGAAGUAACAAUUUAAGUUUUACACUAAAAUUGACAAAAGAGUGAUAAUUGGUAUUAUUCACUUGGGAAUAAAAGAUAGAUUUUAUUUAUCAUUGGAAUGUAGGAGUAACUUCAGUUGUUAACUGAUGGACGAUCAACGUCGUAAGGUGAUAUGACACUUUUACCUUGAUUUUUAUAUAUUAUGCAAAUAAUGUGGUUUAAACUUCUUUUACCUGAUUAUAUUUAUUGAAAAGAUGUGUAUUCCCGUCGAGUUCAAUGUACGCAUGUUUUAUUAUUUUUGAUUUCAUACUCAAACUACAUAACCAAAGGAACUAGUAAUACCUACAUAGGAUUGUUAAAAUUCGCUUUUUGAUUCUACAACCUAUUGUAAACUUGAUUUAACCAGGAUUAUCAAUUCAUAUUCAUAUAAACAACCAUGACUGUACUAUUUUUGAGUGUAAAU
rnacentral:lncRNA from 1 species